CCAGAGUCGUAAAAGCAGCCAACGUGGUUUUUUGAAGAUGGCGGCAACGACGCCGGUGGCUGGCGAGCCUGGCGAGCGACCGUCGAUAAGAAUGGACAUAAGCUACACCUUCGACGAGUGCAACCAAGAUCUGGUCGCCGAACUUCUGGGAAGAUUAAAGGCGGUCAACUCCGUAUUGACGGAGCCCCUCGGGCGGACUGAAGACGUCGAGAAGCCAGCGACGCCGCUGGUGCACUUCGUGGACCCCGGAGACUCGGAACCCAUGUCCGAUAUCCUGGGCAUGGAGGCGCUGGACGGACUCGACGAGCGGCCUGUGGCUCGGCAGGAUCAGGAGGUCUACGACAGGCAGGAAGUGGACGGCCUGGAGGUCGCCGGUGUACCGGACGACCUGGCAGAACUGCCCGAAGAAAUCCAGCUCGGCAUUGCCAAGAUCAAGGAGAGCCUGCACUGUUCCGACGGAUCGGCCGCCGACCUGCUCGACCUCCGCUUCCUGGCGACUGCAAAUCCCGAAACGGUGGCAGCCGUCUGCGACGAAAUGGAGACGGAAUCCGUCUCGGAUGCGAAGAUGGCCGCCCUGCUGCGCUCGUUCGUGGAGCUCAAGUCUGAGACGAGCUUGAUCAACGGAGUGGUCUUCACAAAACGGGCCCUCCUGCCAAAGAUAGAAAGCUGGAAGGAGAGCUCGGCGCCCCGACUCCUGGUCGAGUCGAUCGCCGCGUUUGUGACGGCGCUGCCGCAGGUCAGCGUGGAAGGACUGCUUGUGCCGCUCGCCCAGCUGGCCCACCCAGGCAAGGCCCAGGGAGAGGUCCUGCAGGCUGCAGCAAAGGAGGGCAUCCCCAAGGACUACGCUCCUCUCUGCCUCAGACGAAUUUUGCAGGAGUCUAAAGCCAACACCGAGGCGAUGAUUGGUCUCAUCCACUGCCUCGUCUCCAAGAGGGGUCCCCUGGAGGGUGUGCUCCCAGAGCUUGUGGGCUGGCUGCUGGCUGCGAAGGAGGAGCACAGUGGAGACGCCAGGUUUGCAAAGCUGCUCGUGGAUUUCCUGAGCAUCUGCGGACCUCAGAUGUCUCCGGACCAGCUGGAGAGCAUGUCCGGUGUCGUCAGUGCUAAUCGAACGUUUCUUAAGAAGCCCAUUGAAAAUGUGUUCCGUAAACUCGCAAGUUGACCGCCGAGAAGCAGAGGUCUGAUCUGUGAUUGGAGCGGCCAAUGUUCAACUGGGCUCAAAGACGGGGGUUUCUACGGACACUCGGAACCCAGCGUGCCGGGUACCAGCCGUGCCGU
rnacentral:misc_RNA from 1 species